CGCAUAUUGCGCCCCUUGGUAUUCCGGGGGGCAUGCCUGUUCGAGCGUCAUUACAACCAAUCCAGCCUUGCUGGGUGUUGGGUCUCGCCGUGUGGCGGGCUCUAAAGCCAGUGGCGGUGCUCUCCAGCUCUACGCGUAGUCAAUCUCUCGCUCUAGGGUCUUGAGAGGUGCUUGCUAGCAAACUCGCACUUUUUUUUAGGUUGACCUCGGAUCAGGUAGGGAUACCCGCUGAACUUAA
rnacentral:misc_RNA from 1 species